rnacentral:lncRNA from 10 species
GGGCUUCAUCACAAGGCUGUUUUUCUCCAGGUAUGAUGUUGCUGUGGAAACACAAAGCCCAAAUCCUCAAAGAACACUCUGUUCUAGUCCCAGCUGCUGUAUCCAUCUGCGUUGUAUCUCAUUAGCAGAAGAGCCUAGUGAGAUAGGAGUUGCAUCUCUGCUCAUCCAGAUCUCUAGAGAAGGGAUCUACCCCUGGACUUUUUCCUGGGUCUGCUGGAUUUUGCUGGGGGUCCACUCCAGAAGCUGUUUUCCUGGGUAUCACCAGCAGAGGCUGCAGAACAGCAAAGAUGGCUGCCUGUUCCUUCCUCUGGAAGCUUCAUCCCAGAGGAGCACCCGCCAGAUGCCAGUGGAAUCUCUCCUGCGUGAGGUGUCUGUCAACCCUUGGAAGCACCGGGGUCAGGGACCCAUUUGAGGAGGAAUCUAGAGAGGCAGUCUGUCUACAGCGGUUUUGUCAAAACUCCUUAUUGUUUAACUAAGAAAAAAAAAUCCCCCAAACAGUUUCUGACUUUUGUUUCCUUGGUUCAUCUUCCUCUCAUUGUAUCACAGGGCUACUUGAUUGUAUUUCAGUAUUCAAUUUAUAUAUUUCAUAUUCUGCUGAAUGCAUAGAAUAUAAAUUAAAAAUUCUUUUUCUCAAGCAAGUCA